AGCCCCCAGCCAAUGGGGCGGCGGGCCGGAGCGCCGGACGGCGGGGAAGCGCGGCGCACGCGGCUGCGCCGGCGGGAGUUUUGGGUCUGCGCGCGGGACCCGGGAGGGCGCGGGACGCCGGGCUGGCGGGGGAGCGCGGCCCCCUGGCCUCGCGGGGCAGCCGGGGGGAUGCCCCGCCCGCGCAGCACGGCAGGUCGGAGAAGUCCCCUGAAGAGUGGAGGGCCUGUGCGGGUCUCGUCCUUAACCACCCGUUGCGCGUCCGGCCCGAAGCUGACCUUCGCUCCCGAAUCCGGAAGGCUCCGGGCGCCUCCACCUUGACGGAGAGAAAGAGCUCGGGGAACGGCGAGAAGGAACGAAGAGAGAGGAGAGGACGCUGAGGCCCAGAGAAGCGAUACCUCCCUGCCCCCACCUGGUCGCAGCAAGAGGAGCCCCAAAAAGCAAGCCCAGUGCUGGACCGAGGCUCAGAGACCACCGAGGACACAGCAAGAAGACAGCUGUCCACAAGCCAGGAGGACGGUCUUCCACCGGCAAGCAAAUUGCUGGCACCCUGAUCUUGGACUUCCCAGGCUCCGGACCUGUGAGAUGUCCGUGUUUGUUGCUUGGGCCACCCGGUCUGCGGUGUUUUGUUAACAGCAGUGGGAACAGCCUUCCUGUUCCUGCUCAACUAACCACAGUCGCUGAGAAUUUCACGCCCAAGUUUGGUGCAUUUCUGGGCUACAGUCAUUCACGGGGUGUGCCGCCCAUGCCAGGCUCUGUUUGGGGUGCUGAGCUUCCAGAAGUUAAAAAGUGCCCACCCAGUACCCGCCCAGGAGGAGUCACCUCCUGUUGAGACAGCAGGCCGGUGGAUAAGGAGAGUGCCAGCUGGUGCCCUGGAUAAGACUCCUUGGUUCCGUGAGGGCCCUGCCCUGGGCGCUGUCAGACAAGACACGUCCCAGGAAGAGUCCUCUCUUGUCAUGGCUUGAGCCUCCCGUGACCUGAGACAUCAGCCCACCAUUGUGGCUCCAUCCCAUGGCACUAGCCUAAUGGCUCGACUUGAGCCAGCCACAGAUGAGAUCUGGCCUAACUUUUCUGCCCAGUAAGGACCAAUUAUCUAUUCAGCCACCUGAGAAAUAUUUACUGCACCUGGGCUCUAUUCCAAGCCUGGGACUAAACAAAACUCCUGUGGGUUCUGUCCCCGCCCCAGACCUUACAGAGGGGAGGCAGAUGUUAAAUCAGUAAUGCCAGUGGUAUAAGAUCCUGCUGUGCCCACAGCAGGGAGAGUUACCCAGGACGGGAAAGCCAGGAAAGGCUUCUCUGGAAAGUGCUAGUUGACCUGAGAUCUUCUGAAAGAUCAGUAAUUAAGCAGAUAAAGGAAAGGGCUCUCCUGAGAGAGGUUAGAGUAAAUGGAAAGGUCCUGAGGCAGGAGAGUGCUGGGGCUAGGACUGGAGGAGAGGGAGUGUGAGGUACUGAGGUACAGUGGCCAGAGCCAGAGUGGGCCUUAAAGGUGCUGACAGCCAAGGAAGGGAAGUUCUAAGAGCAGGGAUGAAGUGGAGAGUCCCCUACCUACCUGCCCCUUACCCUCCGACCCCUGGUCCCUUUCCGCCGUGACUGGGGCCUCUUCCAUCUCACCAGGAAGAGCAGCCUCUUCUCAUGACUUGUGCCCCCCCAACCAGUAUCCGUGCCCAUCCUUGUUUUCUGAGUAGCAGCCAGAGUGAGCUUUCAAAAGCAUAAAUCCAACCAUUGCUAAAGAAAAAAAUGCUUACGACACUCGUUAAGACAAUAAGACUUUAUUCAGGACUGUCUUGAAGGUGCAGGGGCCACUGCUAUGGGGCUGUGCUCUGUGGGAGGGAGAGGGAGCUCAGCUCCAAAUAUGGCAAGGAAAAGUGGAGAUUUACGGCCAAAGAGCACGGUCAGCGAGUGGGAAAUUGCUAGAAGGAAGUAUCAGAGGGAAGGGGGGAUUCUGGCUGAGCUGACCUAGCAGGAUUCUUGUGGAAGACAGGCCAAGGCAAUCAAGCAUCCCCUGGGAGGUGGCAGGGAAUGAAGAAUUUGGACAGAUCCCGAGGGUAGGGAAUUCUGGCUAAACCAGCUUGACAGGAUUCUUGCCAAAACUGGACUCUACAAGGACAGGGUCAGAAGCUCAAGUUCAGGCCUAGUAGAGCCGAGGGCUCAGGGCGACUGAAGUAAAGUCUGGCCAGGGAGACUUUACUUUUUUUUUUGUCACCAUGUCCCUCCCCUUCUCAAAAUCCCCCAUGACUCCCUAUUCCUCUUUAAAUGAAAGCCAGACUCACCUGCUGCAGCAUUUCAGACGGACUUGACAUAAGAAAAUUCCAGUAAGGAGCCCAGGCAAGCUGGAGGGGUAGAUCCAUGAGGUGGAAGAAGACAGGGGGCUGUCCCUGGGGUUGAUACUGCAGGUCUGGUGUCCUCAAGGGCUGGGUGUCUCUUCAGCAGGUCCCUUCUCUGGGCACCUCCAUUUCUCAUCUGUAAAAUGGGGACCACUGCACCUCUCGAUGAAAGUCGUGUUGCAGAAGGGAGAGAACCCAUGGAUGCUUAGGACACAGCUGGAUACACUACAGAGCUCACCAGAAGAGCGUUUGGAGCAGGAACAGCAAGUGCAAGUGCCCAGGGGCAGAAUGGAAUAGAACAGAACAGAAGCAUGCAGAAGGGAUCAGACAACAAGGUAAAACUGUCUCAUGAAAUCUUCCUAACCCUCUUGGCAGCAAGGAUUAUUAUCAGACCCAUUGUGCGGAGAGGUGAAGAUGCCUUUCCCGGGGUCACACACAGCCGU